AGCCUGAUCCAGCCAUGCCGCGUGAGUGAUGAAGGCCUUCGGGUUGUAAAACUCUUUCACCGGGGAAGAUAAUGACGGUAACCGUAGAAGAAGCCCCGGCUAACUCCGUGCCAGCAGCCGCGGUAAUACGGAGGGGGCUAGCGUUGUUCGGAAUUACUGGGCGUAAAGCGCGUGUAGGCGGAUCGGUUAGUCAGAGGUGAAAUCCCGGAGCUUAACUCCGGAACUGCCUUUGAUACUGCCUGGCUUGAGUUUUGGAGAGGUGAGUGGAAUUCCGAGUGUAGAGGUGAAAUUCGUAUAUAUUCGGAGGAACACCAGUGGCGAAGGCGGCUCCCUGGCCAAAAUCUGACGCUGAUAUGCGAAAGCGUGGGGAGCAAACAGGAUUAUAUACCCUGGUACUCCACGCCGUAAACGAUGAGUGCUAUAUGUGGGGCAGUUUUCUGCUCGGUGUCGCACCUAACGGAUUAAGCAUUCCGCCUGGGGAGUACGGUCGCAAGAUUAAAACUC
rnacentral:rRNA from 1 species